rnacentral:rRNA from 1 species
GACGAACGCUGGCGGCGUGCUUAACACAUGCAAGUCGAACGGAAAGGCCCUGCUUUUGUGGGGUGCUCGAGUGGCGAACGGGUGAGUAACACGUGAGUAACCUGCCCUUGACUUUGGGAUAACUUCAGGAAACUGGGGCUAAUACCGGAUAGGAGCUCCUGCUGCAUGGUGGGGGUUGGAAAUUUUCGGCGGUUGGGGAUGGACUCGCGACUUAUCAGCUUGUUGGUGGGGUAGUGGCUUACCAAGGCUUUGACGGGUAGCCGGCCUGAGAGGGUGACCGGCCACAUUGGGACUGAGAUACGGCCCAGACUCCUACGGGAGGCAGCAGUGGGGAAUAUUGCACAAUGGGCGGAAGCCUGAUGCAGCAACGCCGCGUGCGGGAUGACGGCCUUCGGGUUGUAAACCGCUUUCGCCUGUGACGAAGCGUGAGUGACGGUAAUGGGUAAAGAAGCACCGGCUAACUACGUG